CAUUUUCGUUUUUUUUAUCCUCAAGGAUAAUUUCGGCCCAGGGUGUUGGCCUCGAAACGAGCUUUCCGAAAAGUACUCACGGGCCCCGUGAAUCCAUCGGGAUCAAAAGUUAGGCACGUGAACGUAGAGACGGGCGAAAUACGUUUGCCGAGCAAUUUUUAUUUUCGUGUUUCGUCGUAUGUAAGUAGUAUUGCGUUAAUUGAGUCGGGCUCGGGAAAUUGCGUUAAUUUAGUUGGGCUCGGGAAAUUGCGUUAAUUGAUUGGCUUAAAAGUCCGAAGUUGAACACCCUAGACUUCUCUCGAGAAGAGAAACUAAGUCGCUUUAAGUAAAUUUUGAAUGCAUAACAUGAC
rnacentral:misc_RNA from 1 species